AUUGAACGCUGGCGGCAUGCUUUACACAUGCAAGUCGAACGGCAGCACGGGCUUCGGCCUGGUGGCGAGUGGCGAACGGGUGAGUAAUAUAUCGGAACGUACCCAGAUGUGUGGGAUAACGUAGCGAAAGUUACGCUAAUACCGCAUACGAUCUAUGGAUGAAAGCCGGGGACCGCAAGGCCUUGUGCUCCUGGAGCGGCCGAUAUCUGAUUAGCUAGUUGGUGAGGUAAAGGCUCACCAAGGCGACGAUCAGUAGCUGGUCUGAGAGGACGACCAGCCACACUGGAACUGAGACACGGUCCAGACUCCUACGGGAGGCAGCAGUGGGGAAUUUUGGACAAUGGGCGCAAGCCUGAUCCAGCAAUGCCGCGUGAGUGAAGAAGGCCUUCGGGUUGUAAAGCUCUUUUGUCAGGGAAGAAACGGUAGAGGCUAAUAUCCUUUGCUAAUGACGGUACCUGAAGAAUAAGCACCGGCUAACUACGUG
rnacentral:rRNA from 1 species